AGCAGCCGCGGUAAUUCCAGCUCCAAUAGCGUAUAUUAAAGUUGUUGCAGUUAAAAAGCUCGUAGUUGAAUUUCGGGAUCAAUACGUCGGUCGUGCUUCGGUACGUACUGGCGUAAUUGAUUUCUCCCUUCUGACGAACCAUGAUGUCAUUAACUUGGUGUCAUGGGAAAUCAGGACUGUUACUUUGAAAAAUUAGAGUGUUUAAAGCAGGCUCACGCUUGAAUACAUUAGCAUGGAAUAAUGAAAUAGGACGUUCGAUCCUAUUUUGUUGGUUUUUAGGAUCAACGUAAUGAUUAAUAGGGAUAGUUGGGGGCAUUAGUAUUCAAUUGUCAGAGGUGAAAUUCUUGGAUUUAUUGAAGACUAACUACUGCGAAAGCAUUUGCCAAGGAUGUUUUCAUUAAUCAAGAACGAAAGUUAGGGGAUCGAAGACGAUCAGAUACCGUCGUAGUCUUAACCAUAAACUAAUGCCGACUAGGGAUCGGAUGAUGUUAAUUUUUAAAUGACUCAUUCGGCGCCUUAA
rnacentral:rRNA from 1 species